rnacentral:rRNA from 1 species
CACCGCGGUUAUACGAGAGGCCCCAGUUGAUAGACACGGCGUAAAGGGUGGUUAAGGAAAGCAAAUAUUAAAGCCAAAGGGCCUCUUGGCCGUCAUACGCUCCCGAGUAUCCGAAGCCCAAUGAACGAAAGUAGCUUUAACCCAGCCCACCUGACUCCACGAAAACUGAGAAA